GACGAACGCUGGCGGCGCGCUUAACACAUGCAAGUCGAACGUGAAGCCCGGGCUUGCCCGGGUGGAAAGUGGCGAACGGGUGCGUAACACGUGAGCAACCUGCCCCGAAGACCGGGAUAACACCGGGAAACCGGUGCUAAUACCGGAUGCCCUCAUCAUGUCGCAUGGCGAGAUGAGGAAAUGGAUUCCGCUUCGGGAUGGGCUCGCGGCCUAUCAGCUUGUUGGUGAGGUAAUGGCUCACCAAGGCGACGACGGGUAGCUGGUCUGAGAGGAUGUCCAGCCACACUGGGACUGAGACACGGCCCAGACUCCUACGGGAGGCAGCAGUGGGGAAUCUUGCACAAUGGGCGAAAGCCUGAUGCAGCGACGCCGCGUGAGGGAUGACGGCCUUCGGGUUGUAAACCUCUUUCAGCAGGGACGAAGCGAAAGUGACGGUACCUGCAGAAGAAGGACCGGCCAACUACGUGCCAGCAGCCGCAGUAAAAC
rnacentral:rRNA from 1 species